rnacentral:rRNA from 1 species
UACGGAGGGGGGCUAGCGUUGUUCGGAAUUACUGGGCGUAAAGCGCACGUAGGCGGCUUUGUAAGUUAGAGGUGAAAGCCCGGGGCUCAACUCCGGAAUUGCCUUUAAGACUGCAUCGCUAGAAUUGUGGAGAGGUGAGUGGAAUUCCGAGUGUAGAGGUGAAAUUCGUAGAUAUUCGGAAGAAACACCAGUGGCGAAGGCGACUCACUGGACACAUAUUGACGCUGAGGUGCGAAAGCGUGGGGAGCAAACAGG